GCGGAAGUGGCGGAAUUGGCAGACGCACCAGCUUGAGGGGCUGACGGUCGCAAGACCGUGGGGGUUCGAGUCCCCCCUUCCGCACCA
rnacentral:tRNA from 2 species